GACGAACUGUGCGAACGUUGUUCGGAAUUACUGGGCGUAAAGCGUGCGUAGACGGUUAUUUAAGUCGGAUGUGAAAGCCCCGGGCUCAACCUGGGAAUUGCAUUCGAGACUGAAUAGCUAGGGUACGGUAGAGGGAAGUGGAAUUUCCGGUGUAGCGGUGAAAUGCGUAGAUAUCGGAAGGAACAUCAGUGGCGAAAGCGACUUCCUGGACCAGUACCGACGUUCAGGCACGAAAGCGUGGGGAGCAAACAGG
rnacentral:rRNA from 1 species